AAAGGCGGCGUAAGCUGUCGCUAAAGGAUGGACCCGCGGUGCAUUAGCUAGUUGGUAAGGUAACGGCUUACCAAGGCGACGAUGCAUAGCCGAGUUGAGAGACUGAUCGGCCACAUUGGGACUGAGACACGGCCCAAACUCCUACGGGAGGCAGCAGUAGGGAAUCUUCCACAAUGGGCGAAAGCCUGAUGGAGCAACGCCGCGUGAGUGAAGAAGGUUUUCGGAUCGUAAAGCUCUGUUGUUGGUGAAGAAGGAUAGAGGUAGUAACUGGCCCCUAUUUGACGGUAAUCAACCAGAAAGUCACGGCUAACUACGUGCCAGCAGCCGCGGUAAUACGUAGGUGGCAAGCGUUGUCCGGAUUUAUUGGGCGUAAAGCGAGCGCAGGCGGAAAGAUAAGUCUGAUGUGAAAGCCCCCGGCUUAACCGAGGAAUUGCAUCGGAAACUGUGUUUCUUGAGUGCAGAAGAGGAGAGUGGAACUCCAUGUGUAGCGGUGGAAUGCGUAGAUAUAUGGAAGAACACCAGUGGCGAAGGCGGCUCUCUGGUCUGUAACUGACGCUGAGGCUCGAAAGCAUGGGUAGCGAACAGGAUUAGACACCCUGGUAGUCCAUGCCGUAAACGAUGAGUGCUAAGUGUUGGGAGGUUUCCGCCUCUCA
rnacentral:rRNA from 1 species